UUGGAAACUGGUUAACUUGAGUGCAGAAGAGGAAAGUGGAACUCCAUGUGUAGCGGUGAAAUGCGUAAAUAUAUGGAAGAACACCAGUGGCGAAGGCGGCUUUCUGGACUGUAACUGACGUUGAGGCUCGAAAGUGUGGGUAGCAAACGGGAUUAGAUACCCUGGUAGUCCACACCGUAAACGAUGAAUGCUAGGUGUUUGAGGGUUUCCGCCCUUCAGUGCCGCAGCUAACGCAUUAAGCACUCCGCCUGGGGAGUACGGCCGCAAGGUUGAAACUCAAAGGAAUUGACGGGGGCCCGCACAAGCGG
rnacentral:rRNA from 1 species